rnacentral:rRNA from 1 species
UACGGAAGGCAGCAGUGGGGAAUAUUGCACAAUGGGCGCAAGCCUGAUGCAGCCAUGCCGCGUGUAUGAAGAAGGCCUUCGGGUUGUAAAGUACUUUCAGUCGUGAGGAAGGUGUUAAGGUUAAUAACCUUAGCAAUUGACGUUAGCGACAGAAGAAGCACCGGCUAACUCCGUGCCAGCAGCCGCGGUAAUACGGAGGGUGCGAGCGUUAAUCGGAAUUACUGGGCGUAAAGGGCACGCAGGCGGUUAAUUAAGUUGGAUGUGAAAUCCCCGGGCUUAACCUGGGAAUGGCAUUCAAGCUGGUUAGCUAGAGUCUUGUAGAGGGGGUAGAAUUCCAUGUGUAGCGGUGAAAUGCGUAGAGAUGUGGAGGAAUACCGGUGGCGAAGGCGGCCCCUGGGACAAAGGCUGACGCUCAUGUGCGAAAGCGUGGGGA